rnacentral:rRNA from 1 species
UACGUAGGCAGCGAGCGUUGUUCGGAGUUACUGGGCGUAAAGCGUGCGUAGCGGUGCCAUAAGUCUGUUGUGAAAUCUCCCGGCUUAACUGGGAGGGUGCGGUGGAAACUGUGGUGCUGGAGUGUGGGAGAGGUAGGCGGAAUUCCUGGUGUAGCGGUGAAAUGCGUAGAUAUCAGGAGGGAACACCUGUGGUGUAGACGGCUUACUGGACCAUGACUGACGCUGAGGCACGAAAGCGUGGGGAGCAAACAGGA